rnacentral:lncRNA from 12 species
AUGCUAGGAGCAGAGUGUGAGCUGGAAACAAUGAAUAUCAGUUUGGGAGAGGAAGGCCAACCGAGUCAAAGGAACUUUGCAUACUUGCAGCCUGGAGAGAAGGAGAAGCGGGAGCCUCUCUCUCCCAUGUGCAGGAGCCCAGUGGGUGCUGUCACUGCAGGGGGUGUCUGGAGAGCGGCUGCUAACCAUGAGUUUGUACCACUGGCAGCAAGACGGUGUUCCUUCCCUCCGUGGGAUAGCUGCCUGCAACCCGCACAUCAUCUCUGGUUCCAUUUAUGUCGUGAUUCUCUUUCUCUGCUGAUGGAUAGAAGGCUCGCUCCCUUGGGCAGCUGCUAAUAGGGCUUGCUUGGUCAGGGAAUGUGUCUGUUGAGCCCUCAUUAUCAAAGGAUUUCUUCCUCAGUGUUCUAAGGUUUCAGGAGCAUCAUUUGCUAUCUUCUGUGAGAUAAUGCGUCUUGUCCAACUGGUGUAUUUGUUUCCUUUCUGAGCUACUUCACCCAUAGCCUCCUGUGUUACAGCCCCAGGAUGUUUCCCUGAAGGUGUUCCUGGAAACGUUGUGACUUUAGUUGUAAUGCUCUACCCUAUUGCCAACAACAUCUCAGUAUAGUCCAUCAAUAUGCAGACCACAUAUCAUACCACUUGGUGUUGUAAAAUACAUUGCAAAAUAUGCUGUGAUUAUGUGUUCAACUGUAGCUUGUCAUUGAGCCAACUUAGUAAAUCUCCCCAACCUUUGGUCGACUGUGGUCUUGCAGUGGCAGGUAAAGGAUAAGGACUUCCAGGCAACACAGGUAUCGACUCAGCACCAGGUGAGGGAGGGACCAAGGCCCAGGGGCUUCUCCAUCCAAGUUUGUCAACACCAGCAAGCCCGCUGGCAGGGAGGUUGUAGCCUCACACAGGAAUGGCACACCACGGGUUCUGGGUCAGGCCAUGCUGUGCUCUUCACUGGAUAGGAGUUGAGAGUCUGGUCCCAUCAAGUCUAGACAGGGGUCCAUGUAGCCCACUGUACUAGUGGUUAUCAGUGUUUCUCACUGUUUUCCAGUUAAUGUCUCAGUUUGUUGUAAGACCCGGCAUACUGUCAGAACACACACACGUGUGUGUGUCUGAGUGUGAGUAUGUGAAAUUAGUGUCUGUGCAGAUUCAGACUGGGACAGACUUUUAGCCCCAAAAGCCCACUUGCCGACAUGGAACAGAGAUAAGAAAGUGGGUUAUCCAAAACUGACUUCUAGCUAAAGGGAUGGAUUGUGAGAGUGAAGGGCUUGCAUAGCUCACUCACGGGAUGAUUUGCUGUUGUGAGAGUCCUCGUUCUAGGUUCUUGGGUCUUUCCGCACCUCACAGAGGGGUUGCCGGAGGUGAGAAUACAUAUCCCCAACACCUGAAUGCACCAUUGGUUUUAUAUAGUCUUCCUGUCAAAGAGAGAGCACCGUUAUUUUUUCUUUAAGAUUUUAUUUAUUCAUGAGAGACAUAGAGAGAGAGGCAGAGACACAGGCAGAGGGAGAAGCAGGCUCCAGGCAGGGAGCCCGAUGCGAGACUUGAUCCCAGGACCCCGGGAUCACAACUUGAGCCAAAGGCAGAUGCUCAACUACAGAGCCAUCCAGGUGCCCGGAAUGCCAUUAAAUUUCCUAUGUAACAUCUGUUCCUAAAACUGUUCUGAUGAUGUCUGAAACUUCUGUUGCCCUUCAGCUGUUCAGAUUUCUCCUCCUCAACCUCUUUCCAUAUUUUUUCCUCCAGGUAUAUAGUAAGUGACAGAGCUUUGGGUUUUGUUUGCUCAUUUUUAGAAUCAAUGAAUCUCCAAAGUUUCCCAAGAAAGAGCAAAAAAAAUAAUAAUAAGGAAACACAACACACUUAUUAGGAUGAUUAAAAUGGAAAACCCUGACAAUACCAAGUGCUGACAAGGAUACAGACCAUUUAGACAGUGCACAUCACUCAGGGUUGCCGGAUGGGGCACACGCCCCGGGGAGGGCUUGAGAGUGUCCCACCGAGUUCAACAUACACUUACUAAAUGGCCUGGCAGUCCCACUCCUGGGAUCUUACCCUCGAGAAAUAAGUGUUCUUUUCACGUAGAAACUUGCACAAGCUUUACCUGUAAUCGUCAAAAGCUGGACACAGCCCAGAUGUCCUUUGGCAGGUGAGAGGAUGAGCAGAUGGUGGGAUAACCGCGCCCCUGGAUUCUGCUCCACAACAAGAAAGGACACAUGAGUGACACACAAGGCCCCUGGAGUCCAUCUCGGGGACAUGAUGCAGAGAGAAAGAAGUCCAGCUUGGGACAAUUCCAUUUGUAAGAUGUUCUCGGAAAGACAAAGCCACAGUGGCAGAGUGGCUCAGGGCAGAGUCUUUUUCCCUCUCACUGUUAACUCAUUAUGUUUCGUAAGAUGUGAUCAGAUUCUUUACCCCUUUAAGUCUGACCUGGUGUAAGUUCCUUGUUGUUAUGACGAGGUGACUGGGCCCCGGGCAGUGUUUCUGGGUUUGUGGAUCACGCUCUGCACCACUGACCAUAGUGGUCUUCUCUCUGCCGCUAGGCAGACUGGGGAGCUGGGGUGUCCAGAGACCUCCAGGGUCAGCUCGCAGAGAGGUGGGCACUCUCCGGCUGGACGUCUGCCCCACCCUGGCUUGCCCUCGCUCCUCACAGUCCACCAACCCGGAGUACAUCGUCUUUGGCUUUCUGGGGGUUUUGUUCUCAAUUGAGGUUUUCUGGGGGUUUUCUGUUCUCAAUAGAGGUUUUCUGGGGGUUUUGUUCUCAAUAGAUUUAAUCAGGCCUCUGCUGAGUUUUGACCUGGAUUUAUUCCCUAACCUGUUGCUUUAAAGUCUUUUUAAUGCAUAGACUAGUCAGGUUUUCAGAGUCUCCUAGGCUGAAGGUUUUCUUCCUAAAUAUGGCUUUAAUUUCACAGAGCAUUUCUGCAGUGUGAUCUGGUUCUUCUGUGCACCUAGAUGGGAUCCAUCCCAUAUUCAUUGCCAGUGAGACACCAGCAGUCAAGUGAUCCCAGACGCCCCAGCACAGAAGGUCUCAUUGGCCAAAUGAAGCUGCUGUAAGCACUGCGAUUGUUAAAUCAGGUAAAACACAUGGUGAGGAGCAAAGGGAAAGAAAUAGGGCUCAUUAGUGGACUCAAGGCAGGGCAGUGGGAUUCAUUCCCUAAAUCCUGGUUAUACUGAAAUAAUGUCACCUGUGUGUCUGUCUGUCUGUCUGUCUCUGCCAAUGAAGCAUCCCAGCCCUGUUGUUACAAGGACCAGAUUGACAUUUCGGCAAGGAGGCCAGGUCAGAGCAGGCACCCCAGUCAGGCCUCUGUGUCCCCAUCACUACUGCCAGCUAGCCCGCACACCAGCAUGGGGUCAUAUUUGCGUUUCUCAGCCUGAGGACACAGAAGGCCACAAAGGGUGGUUGAAGGAGAACCUUAUGAAUGUUUAGAGUCACAGAUUGCAGGCCCCUCUUCAUCUUUCCGUUCCCUCUCUGACCGUGUUAAACACACACAUGCUCUUGCAUGUGCACUUCUAUCUACUGAACCUAUCUAGGGACGCUGCCGAUGGUUUUCAGUCCACCACUGACGUGCACCCAACUUACGUCUUUCCCCUUUCUUGUUUUUUCAUCUUUGACACCAGCAUUGGAAAUUAACACACAAGACAAAAAAAAAAAAAAAAAAUUUACAUUACCCUACACAACCCCCACCCCAAUCUGCCAAGGAAAGUGUCGAGGGUGGGAGAGUCAGGUACAUGUUUGUGUUAUCAAGGGGUUUCCUCUCUUACUCUGGACAUGGUCAGGGCUAUUAGCAAAUGUGGUUUUUCCUUCUGUAGCCAAAUGGGCUUGCUAGUAUCAGGCCCAGAGCACCCUGGGGAGUCAGUGCAGAUGAUGAGAUGCUUGCCCUUGACGUACCUCAUUACUGCUGCUCACGUUCCAUUGGCACAUUGGCAGAUCUGAUGACCUGGCCACUAGGGUGUUAACUUCGGAAAUGUGCUGGGGCCGGGGGGGGGGGGGGGGGGGGGGGGGGGNNNNNNNNNNNNNNGGGUGGGAGGGGGAGCAUGGGGUUGGUGGGGUUGGUGGGGAGGGGUGGAAUUCCCCAGGCCAACAGAAAGUAGGGAGAACCAGAUGUCAGUAAACAUCAGUAAUGUCUAGUUCUGCUUUAUUUGCUUAAUUUGUGUGUGUGAAAUAUUUUAAUGUAAACUCUUAAUAUUUUAAUGUAAAUAUUUUAAUGUAAACACAUGACAUAAACAUUGUGUUGUGUAUCUCUUUAAAAUAAAGACAUCCCCCACCAAAUAAAAUAAUAAAAU